UACUUUGCUAAGCAAAAUUAAAUGAGGUUAGGUUGCAGCUUGAAAUUUUAACAUAAAAGGUUCAGUUGGUGAUGCAUGAAAGAAAAUAAUUUUCUUCUAAAAAUCUUUUGGAGAAUGUGGAGUAAAUCUAUUGGAGUAAGUUUUACACAGUAGAAAUUUGUAUUUAUCGUUAAUAUUGUUUUUAUUCUGAUAUUAGUGUUUAUUUGUAAGUGUAGUUUUUGCAUGAUUUUAUUCUGUUCGUAUCGCUUGUUUUUAGUGUGUUAUUUUACAUCCUUUUAAUCCACUAUGCAUUGGCUGGGCAUGGGACAAAUUAGCUGAUAGUGUCACCUGCUGAGGCAUGGGUGUGUCCAGAGGUGUUCUUUCAGCUCUUUAAAGGACUUAUUAGAAGGAAGCAAGCUGAGCAGUGGAAGGAGAGAGGCCCUAGAUAUGAAGAGGAAUGCAUGAAGCCCAGGUAGAAAAGAGGGAUCCGCUGCCUGAUCGUGGGGGGCGCGACACCUCGUCUGGAGACUGACCGGUCAGCGUGGUGUGGCGACCCAGUACCGACAGCAGGAACGGCGACAGUAGGAGACAACGCUUGUGAUUGACAGCAGGGCAGAUGUAUACCUCUGCCUGCAUUCGCGAUGACGUGAGGGGAGCCGCGGUGGUAUCGAGCGGCGGACUCCAAUGCAGAAUGCGAACUGUGCUGGGAUGUGAUGGGCCCAGUGGAGGGACGAGACUGGGAUAGGAGGCUCCUCAUCUGCCUGGCACGAGGCUGGCGUGGACCCCGCUCCGCAAGAGGAAUUUCUGUCCAGCUCAAGAACACACAGGGGAUAUUCGUCCUGGGUUGUGGGACUGGGUGGGAUUUUUGUGCAUGAAGAGAAUUGUAUUUUUACCAGUUUUAGAAUAAUUUUAUCUGGUCUCGGUGGGAAUUUUAGCAUAUUGAGAAUAUUUUAUUGUAUACUUUUUUCUUAGUAUCUGGUUUGUUUUAUUCCUGCUGUCCACCUCGUGGAAUAAACUGUUUCUGAUCAGACAAUCACUUCUGUGUUAUAAUGUUAACGGAAGUUUAUCAGGUCAGAUGGCCAAUGGAUGAUAAGAAAAAUACUAUUAGCAAUUAUUAGAGUUGAAAAGUAGUUUGCUAAGCAAAAAGUACUAAAUCGGGUUAGGUUGAGGCUUAAUCCUUCACCUUAACUGGCUCAGAUGGUCUCUAAAUGGAUGAAUGAAACAAUACUUAACUUCCAAAAACAAUAUUUUAGUCAGGGCUAGCGGAAAGUUUCAUAUACAGUAUAUCAUUAAUAUCUAUCUUCUCUGUCUUCCUAUAGUUUCGUUUCAUUUUCUUACCCCACCCCCAACCAGUCGAGGCAGAUGGCCGCCCCUGAGCCUGGUUCUGCCGAAAAUGGAGUUCUUCCUUCCCACUGUUGCCAAAUGCUUCGUCAUAGGGGAUCAUUUGAUUGUUGGGCCUUUCUCUGUAUUAUUUCACAACCUUUAUCUCACCAUGUAUUGCAAGUUUAUAUGUUGUGAAUUGUCUUAAUUUAAAUCAAAUUGAACUGCAUUCAAUUAAAACUAAAUAUAACUUGUAAUCAAAUGUGAAGUCUUCUCACUCAAUUUGGACAACUAGCACUGAAAAAUACACUGACAUCCUCUGUUUCCCAAUUAGCAGAUCAGAGGUUGCUGUUUUGUUCAUGACUCAAUACUUGAAUGGUUAUAUCCUGUUUAUAAAUAAACAUUUAAAAAUGACAUUGCUUCAUUGUAUGAUUAAUUCUUUGUCUGUGUCAGUCCUUAAUACAUACACAUGUAGGCAACUGCUGUGAUUUGGUGCUACAUACAUAAACUUGAAGUGAGUUAAUCCACCUGUUCACAGGAAGAUGACACCAAACAUCAGAUCUUAUCGUGCGCCACAGUAAAAGGUGGUUUCUUGGGACUAAAAGCACACAAUAAACUACAGCAGAAGCUCACAUAAAGCAGGAAAUAAGCAGGCACCACUUCAUCUGCUAAUGCACGUUUUGCACUUUUAUUGUUGCCUCAUUCACUAAACAGUUCAAUGGUGCAAGAUUACCAUACACAGAAUUAGGAUAUCUGCAUGACACAUCUAUGCUAUACAGCGAAUGGAUUAUAAUUAUUACAAAUACAGUAAACAUAUUUACAUUUUAGUUCAAGCUCCAUACAACACAGAUAUUUACAAAGUAAGUAUGAAAAUGAAACCGGUCUGACAAAUAAUGUACAGCGUUAAUGACGUUUUUUGUUUUUUUUUCCUUUUCUUUUGGUGAACAAAUCUGAAAGGGAGCGAGGUUAACUGAUAUUAAUUGUCAGAGGGGGAAAAUAUCAUGGCUAGUUUUGUUUGAAAGGCAUCAACGGAAAAACAAACACACACACAGAAAAAAGUGAUGAGGUGAAGAAAGACACAAUAAGUGUGCUGUCGUUUAAGAUGUCACAAGCUACUUUGUAUAGUCCUAUAUCCCUGAUAUUAGAAAAAAUAAAAAUGAGCUAAAA